GACGUAGGGCGCGAGCGUUGUCCGGAUUUAUUGGGCGUAAAGAGCUCGUAGGCGGUUUGUCGCGUCUGCCGUGAAAGUCCGGGGCUCAACUCCGGAUCUGCGGUGGGUACGGGCAGACUAGAGUGAUGUAGGGGAGACUGGAAUUCCUGGUGUAGCGGUGAAAUGCGCAGAUAUCAGGAGGAACACCGAUGGCGAAGGCAGGUCUCUGGGCCACUACUGACGCUGAGAAGCGAAAGCAUGGGGAGCGAACAGG
rnacentral:rRNA from 1 species